GCGAGGAGUAAAGGUUAUAAACACGUAUCUUCAAUUAAUUUAAUAUAUGAAGAACCAAAGUUUGUAAAGCGUUUAAAAGAAAAAACCGAAACUUCUCAGAGAGUAAAGGAAGGAAACGUUCAAGAUCGUCCUGAUCUACCGGAUGAGGAACCUCUUGUAGUGGAAGGAGGUGAUUUUACUCCGGAAGAAUACGCUCUUCUAAAGAAGAACAGACUUUCAAAUUAUAAAGUUGAGGGAAAAACUUGUUUGGAAUUAUGCUCAGCGCCUCUUGGAAAAUCUGAAAAAUUAAAAAAAUAUGUUAAAAGUGAAAAAUCUACUAUAAAAAAGUCUUUAUUAAACAAUAAAAUGCUUCUCUCCUUUGACACAGAAGAAGAAGACCUCUGAGGAAAUUAAA